UGAACAGAAGCAAGCUUUCCCCAGGCUGUCGAGCAUCUCGGUCACUCAAACGCCGUUAGGAAGUACACCAGCUGGCCGUAAUUGAUGGUUAGAGUUAAAGACCAUGAAUGAAGUUUUUGAGCAUUAUGGAGAUCCUGUACAUAUUAAGCUGACGCAUAAUUUGAUGAGGUUUAUUGCUGAAGGAAUUGGAGAGGACGAUGCUGCUUGUAGAUAAUCAGUUGAGAUCAUCUGCUGUAGCACUUGAAUUCCUAGAUCAGAACGGUACCAUGUUUCCUCAAGAGACAUUGUUUCAAUGCCUGAGGCAUUGUAUUCUAGGGAGACCUACUCUAUCUCAUCAGUGGAUGGAUCAUCAGAGCUUAAGCUAUGGCUUGAUGGUGUUCAGAAGAAGUGGGGUAGGCUAACUUAUUCGUCACGAAUGGGGCAACUCAGAUGGAUGUUGCAAUAGCUGCCAAUUCGUGAUAGUUGAGAUUCAAGAAAGACACAGAUUGAGAUUUCCCCAGAAAAGCAGAAGCUUGCUGCUUCAUUGUUUGGUGGUUCAACUAAACCUGAGAAAAGAUCAUCCACUAGUCACAAGGUUCCAAAAGCUAGUGCUAAUGUUGUAGUAGGAUCUCAGGGAUCAAGGGCUGCAGUUGUACCAAGUGAAGUAGAUGUGGAGAAAACAAUUCAUCUACCUCCUCCUGAUUUGCUUGACUUGGGUGAAUCAGCUGUUACUGCGGCUUCUCCAUCUGUGGACCCCUUCAAGCAAUCAGAAGGACUUCUUGAGCCAAGUGUUAGUUGUACAACAAAUCAUAAAGUAAAUGUUGCUACAAAUGCGCCUGAUAUUAUGGCACUCUAUCCAGAGACUACUGCAAGUGGGCAAAGUGGCAGUGGUGGCUAUUCUAUCCUUGUGAGUGGGGAUAAUGUAAAUCUUUUAUUGAGUUGUUGAAUGCAUCUGUUAGAGCUACUGAGUUGUCAAAUGCAGCUGUUAUAGGUAAUAGUGGAGAAAUGUAACACCCUCAUUAGAAGAAUAUGCCUCUACAGCUACCGAAGUAAACCAGAAGAAAUUAAAGAAAAUAUCAGAAAAGACAGAACUAGAUACCUGACAUUACAUCCUACAGAAAGUCUGGUACAACCUCAAGGAUCAUGGCUUAUCAGCUGGCCAGAUGAGUCUGUCUCAAAAGAUACACAUACAUCUAUUCAAAUGAUCACCUCUUACAUCCACUUAUACUACUAUGUACAUACAUAUCUACAACAAAAAUAGUAGUGGAAGCGUCACAACAGUGAAGAGAACCUUGUGGAGGGAGGCUUGAGAGACCAGAGGAGAGAAACAAGACACCUGGCCAUGGGAGGAUAAUCAUUUUGAAAUGGACUGGUUUGUGCAGCCAUACGGAAGUAAUUGGGUUAUGCAUAUUAGCUUUAGGAGGGAACACAUAAAGAUCGUCUUGUUCUGGUUCUGAUGGGUGUAGUAGACUUUCUUUUUUCGCAUAUGAUGUUAUAAUACACUUUCUGCCGGAUAUAAUGUGAUCUAUCUAGUUGGUGUCUUUUUUGAUAUUUUCUUUAAUUUAUUCUGGUUUACUUCAGCAGCUGUAGAGGCAUAUUCUCCGAAUAUGGUAUUACAAGAAACAAUUGUGAUGCCUUUGUCUCAAUCUAUGAAGGGUCGAAAUGCUAAAGAUUCUUUGGAGAAGGAUGCAUUAGUUGGGCAGAUGCUUGAGGACAGUUGGCUAUCUGAUAUAUGCAAAAUUGAAUGAUAUAAAUUUUGAGCCAAUGGAGUGACUCGACAUCCAAGAAUGAUGGCAGAACCAGGUAAAGACUAUACUCAUUGCAGAAUAGUUUUUGUAGCAAUUGAAUGCACAAGGUUUUCCUUGCUACAUCCAAGUUUUGGUCCACUCUGGACUUUAAGGAAGGUUAAUGUUAUGCACGGUCAUGUCCUUGCCCUGUACUCUUCAUAGGAAGUUCCGCGUCAUCUUUGUUGUUAUACCAAAGUUCUAUUUUUUUUCCUUUAAAUAUUUCUGUGCUUUUUUCUAUAUCCAUAUAAUGUUUUUUCAACAAUGAGAAGCUUGAUAC